rnacentral:rRNA from 1 species
GAUGAACGCUAGCGACAGGCUUAACACAUGCAAGUCGAGGGGCAGCACGGGAGUAGCAAUACAACUGGUGGCGACCGGCGCACGGGUGAGUGACGCGUAUGCAACCUACCUAUCAGAGGGGAAUAACCCGGCGAAAGUCGGACUAAUACCGCAUAAAACAGGGGCACCGCAUGGUGAUAUUUGUUAAAGAAAUUCGCUGAUAGAUGGGCAUGCGUUCCAUUAGGUAGUUGGAGAGGUAACGGCUCACCAAGCCGACGAUGGAUAGGGGAACUGAGAGGUUGGUCCCCCACACUGGUACUGAGACACGGACCAGACUCCUACGGGAGGCAGCAGUGAGGAAUAUUGGUCAAUGGGCGAGAGCUUGAACCAGCCAAGUCGCGUGAAGGAAGAAGGAUCUAUGGUUCGUAAACUUCUUUUGCAGGGGAAUAAAGUGCAGGACGUGUCCUGUUUUGUAUGUACCCCGAGAAUAAGGAUCGGCUAACUCCGUGCCAGCCGCCGCAGUAACAC